rnacentral:lncRNA from 1 species
AAAAAAUUUCACUAGGCUGAUGUCUGUUUUCUCACAGCCUUUCCACUCCAUCAGUUGUGAGAGGAGGAACAAUUUCUAGAGUUGAGAAGAGAAACCCAAAGGCAAACCUGUUGGUCGACACAGCAACACCUUCUCCUGUGAUAUCAAAAACGAAGCUGGAAAUGGAAACCGUGAUGGAGAUUGUGCCAGGGAAAGAAAAGCCUGUUCAGCAUUAUACCAUCCUCACACUCACUACACCUGUCAAUUUUCUCUCCGAGAUUCCUGUCAGACUGCCAUUUCACUCCCCAGCCUCUAUUAGACUGCCUGCUGCAUUGCAUAGUAAUGGCCUAAAAUCCCCAAAUGACGGAAACUUUAAAUGGCCAGGUACGUAUAUUUUUCCUCAUUGUACCUAUAGCAAAAAUAUCUAAAGCAUAAAACUUAUUUAACAAAAAACUAUGAAAUAUAUCUCAUAUUGUUUUUG